rnacentral:misc_RNA from 1 species
GAUGAAGAACGUAGCGAAAUGCGAUACGUAAUGUGAAUUGCAGAAUUCAGUGAAUCAUCGAGUCUUUGAACGCACAUUGCGCCCCCUGGUAUUCCGGGGGGCAUGCCUGUCCGAGCGUCAUUGCUGCCCUCAAGCACGGCUUGUGUGUUGGGCCUCCGUCCUCCUCCCGGGGGACGGGCCCGAAAGGCAGCGGCGGCACCGCGUCCGGUCCUCGAGCGUAUGGGGCUUCGUCACCCGCUCUUGUAGGCCCGGCCGGCGCUUGCCGACACAUCAAUCUUUUUUCCAGGUUGACCUCGGAUCAGGCAGGGAUACCCGCCGAACUUAAGCAUAUCAAUAAGCGGAGGA